ACUUCUUCUUUGUGGUGGUGUGGCCUCAGUUUCCCCGGCGGACUCGAGUCCUAGACCAGGAACUCCAGCACGCACCAGAGACAGGAUCCACUGAAGAGCCUUUUCUGACAUCCUCAUUUGUUCUGCUGUGUAAUAGCAUGGGAUCUUUCAGAGCUGUCGACAUCUGCUCCACUCUAGAGAGCUGCAGAACCGAGCCAGCAAAGCAAUAAUAAUUAUGCCCAAAUGGACUGCAAAGGAGGAGUUCCUAAUCAAGGGAAAUGAGUGAGUGUACAACUCACCCAAUGUGGUGGAUGAUGCACUGGAGAUACCAACAUACUGCUAAGGACAUAAGCCCGGACAACAUUAGAGCCAGAAGAUCUUAAUUCGAAUCUCUUCGCUUUUAUGGACUGGUAUGCAACCUU